rnacentral:rRNA from 1 species
GGGGGGGGGUGGGGGGGGGGGGGGGGGGUGGGGGGCGGAGGGAGGGGGGCGGGGGUGGGGGGGUGCGGGGGGGGGGAAGGGGUGCGUGACAGGGGGGUAGCCGUCCCGUGCCUGUGGGAUAGCUUGAGGAACCGGGGGAUACUACCGGAUAGGAGCCCGUGGUGCAUGAUGGGGGUUGGACCGUGUCGGGGGGUGGGGAUGGACUCGCGGCGUAUCAGCUUGUUGGGUGGGUAGUGGCUUACGAAGGCUUGGACGGUUAGCCGGCCUGAGAGGGUGACCGGACACAUUGGGACUGAGAUACGGCCCAGACUCCUAGGGGAGGCAGCAGUGGGGAAUAUUGCACAAUGGGCGGAAGCCUGAGGCAGCAACGCCGCGUGCGGGAUGACGGCCUUCGGGUUGUAAACCGCUUUCGCCUGUGACGAAGCGUGAGUGACGGUAAUGGGUAAAGAAGCACCGGCUAACUACGUG